UUCUUUGGUGUGACUGCGAACCAGUAACAGACUAAGAUCAGCUGAGAAAAGGCGAUUCACAGAAGGAGAACUGGAGUAGAAGAAACUUCGGUGACGUCGCUGUAACAGGAUCUGAUUACUGGUGGUGUAUUUCGGAGGUAACAAACAGCUUGUCUUCUCCGGUGUGUUUAGAAGAGGCUUGUAUUGUUGUUACCGGAACUUUAUACCGAUUCUAGUGAAGUUGCUUGAGAGUUUCGAUCUCUCCCUGGACAGUAGGAAACGAAGUCCGGGUUAACAAAUCUUGUGUGCUCUGUUUACGAUUCUUGGUCUCGCAAUCACAAACAAACGAUCGAGUUACAUAAGAAUCUAGAUCAAAUCUAAUCAAGCAAUCGAAGCUAUAAUCAACAAGUUGUAUCAGAGCUGUGGUUUGGUGCUUGAUUGGAUUGAUUGAGGUUAAUCAAGGAGGAUGACUAUAACUACGGAGCUGGAUCCUACUCGAGGUCGGUUCGAGAUGGAUAAGUUUGAUGGAAAAGGUGACUUUGGGAUGUGGAAGUAUAAGCUUCUUGGUCAGCUUGAUAUCCAGGGGCUAGCAUCGGCUCUUGAUGAAAAUGCUACUCUUUACAAGGACUCAGAGAAGCUUGAAGAAGGAGCUGAACCAGUCUUGGAUCCAGUUAAGGUUGCUAAAGAUACUAGAGUGAAGAAUCUCACUGGAACGUGUCUUAGCGAUAUGAUACUAAGGAAAGUCAUGCAUGAGCGUACUGCUUAUGGCAUGUGGAAAGCUCUUGAACGAGAUUAUCAGACCAAGUCUCUACCUAACAUGAUCGAUCUAAAGCAACAGUUUGCUAGCUUUGAGAUGGAGGAGAGUAAAAGUAUGGAAGAGAAUAUGGAUAUGUUUCUCAAGCUAGUAGGAGAUCUAGCCAGUCUCAACAUAAAUGUGAGUGAUGAAGACCAAGCUAUACAGCUUCUAACGAGUCUUCCAGCUCAGUAUGAAGCUCUUGUGCAUACUCUAAAAUAUGGAACUGGCAAGGAGACUCUUACAGUUAGAGAAGUAACUGCUUCAUCUUACUCAAAGGAGAUUGAGUUAAGGCAGAGAGGUCUAUUGAACAAAGGAAAGUUUAGUUCAGAAGGCUUAUAUGUCGAAUCAAGAGGGAGGUCUAGCAAGAAGGGUGAUAGGAACAACAACCGUCCUAAUAAAGGAAGAUCAAAGUCUAGAGAUUACAGAUCCAAAUCUAAACCAAGGUAUAAUAAGGAGCAGAAGACUGGGUGCUUUAUAUGUGGCAAAGAUGGCCAUUGGAAGCGUGAGUGUCCCCAAAGAUACAACAAACAACAGGGAAAUGGUGAUUCAGCUAACUCUGUGUCAGAACCCAAGCAACCUCUAGUGCUUACUGUGAGCACUCAAGACUCCAAGAACGAGUGGGUUCUAGACUCAGGCUGCUCAUUUCACAUGACUCCACAGAAGGAGGAGUUGUUUGAUUUCAAAGAGCAUGAUGGUGGAAAGGUCCUAAUGGCUAACAACACUCAUUGCGAAGUUAAAGGUAUUGCGAAGAUUAAGAUUUGUAACUCAGAUGGAAGGGAGGUUAUACUUACGGAUGUUCGAUACAUGCCAAGAAUAAGCAGAAACCUAAUAUCCUAUGGUAUGCUUGAAAAAGCUGGAUGUUCCUACACGGGUGAAGACUAUAAGAUUAUUUUCUACAAGAACGGAGAAAAGGUUAUCUCUGGAAGGUAUCAAGAUGGACUAUACUAUCUGAUUGGUGAUGUGUCCAAAGCCGAAGCCAAUAUUGGAAGAGCAGAGCCAAACGUUACUGAUCUGUGGCACUCAAGGCUUGGACACAUGAGUUUAGCAAACAUGAAUGCUCUGGUCAACAAAGGUUAUUUUCAAAUCAAGGACGUUGAAGACUUAAAGUUUUGCGAGAGCUGUGUUUUGGGAAAGUCUCACAAACAAAGUUUUCCGAAGGUUAAGCAUACAACCAAAGGGAUUCUUGACUAUGUUCAUUCAGAUCUUUGGGGUUCCCCUUCAACUCCAGAAAGACUUGGUGGUUGUAAGUAUUUCGUGAGUUUCAUUGAUGAUUACUCUAAGAAGGUUUGGGUUUAUUUUCUAAGAACCAAGGAUGAAGCUUUUGAAAGGUUCAAGGAGUGGAAAAUAGAGGUAGAGAAUCAAACAGGAAAUAAACUCAAGUGUCUCAGAACCGACAAUGGUUUAGAAUUCUGAAAUCACAAGUUUGAUCAACUCUGCAAGGAUACAUGGGUUAAAAGACACCGCACCUGCACCUAUACAUCUCAACAGAAUGGGGCUUCUGAAAGAAUGAAUCGAACAAUUAUGGAUAAGGUUAGGAGCAUGUUAGCAGAGACGGGUUUGGGUUCAGAAUUUUGGGGUGAGGCUACUUCUACAGCGGUUUAUCUAAUCAACCGAACACUAGGCUCAAGUAUUGAUUUUGAAUUACCAGAAGAGAGAUGGUCAGGAGGCAAGGUUGAUUUGUCUCAUCUAAGAAGAUUUGGAUGUUCUGCAUACGUACAUAAGGUUCAAGAAAAGACAAGUCCUAGAGCUAUAAAGGGAGUAUUUGUUGGUUAUCCGUUUAGGGUCAAAGGCUACAGAGUUUGGAUUCAGGAAGAAGGAAAGUGUACCACCAGUCGGAAUGUUGUGUUUCAUGAGCAAGAACUGUUUAAAGACACAUCUAAAAGCUCAAAUGAUAACAACACUGAAAGGGUUAGAUCAGAGUCAAAGAAAGAAGGAAAGCGAGUCAGUUUUAGUGAUGAUUUGAUUCAGGGACCUUCAUCUGGAAAUUUUGAAACUGGAGAGACGUCUAAUAUGAUUGAAUAUGAUAAUGAAAGCUCACAGGGGUCAGAAUCAGAUGGAGACUCAGAUUCAGAACCAGAUGGUGGUAUUGUGGUAAGCUCUGGAGAUGUCUCAUUGGAUAACUAUGUUCUAGCCAGAGACCAGGAAAGAAGACAAAAUGUUAAAGCACCAUCGAGAUUUGAUGAUGCGAGUUUGGUUACUUAUGCCUUCAGUGUUGCUGAAGAAUUAGAUAUUGAUGAGCCAAGGUCCUAUGCCGAAGCAAUGAAGACUAAAGAAAGGAAGUUUUGGGAUAAUGCAGCUAAGGAAGAAAUGGUUUCUCUGGAAAAGAAUAGAACAUGGGACUUGAUUGAGAGACCUAAGGAUCAAAAGACGAUUGGAUGCAGAUGGAUCUUUAAGCUAAAACCGGGUAUUCUAGGAGUGGAAGACAAGCGGUUUAAAGGAAGGGUUGUAGCUAAAGGAUACUCUCAAAAGGAAGGAAUAGACUAUAAUGAAAUUUUCUCACCAGUGGUUAAACAUGUUUCGAUUCGUAGCUUCUUAUCACUGGUGGUAAAUUUCGAUAUGGAGCUAGAGCAGAUGGAUGUUAAGACAACCUUUCUACAUGGUGACUUAGAAGAAAUGAUUCUAAUGGAACAUCCUGAGGGAUUUAUUGUAAAAGGAAAUGAGGACAAGGUAUGUCUACUAAGGAAGUAUCUCUACGGUCUGAAACAGUCACCGAGACAGUGGAAUCUGAAAUUUGAUAGUUUUAUGAAGAAGCAGAUGUUCAUCAGAAGCGAGUUUGACUCAUGUGUGUACAUGAAUGACAUCAACACAAAGAAGGUAGUUUAUUUACUACUCUAUGUUGAUGACACGCUCAUAGCCUCUGGAAACAAAUCUGCGAUUCAGUCUCUGAAGGACAGUUUGAGUGGAGAGUUUGAAAUGAAAGAUUUAGGGAAAGCCUCUAUAAUUCUUGGAAUGGAGCACUCGAGAUAUGAAGAAGGGAAUUCUAGUGUUAUCACAAGAGAAGUAUCUACUGAAGGUUCUAAACACUUUUGGAAUGUCUGACGCUAGAUCAGUGGUUACACCUACGGUUUCUCAUUUCAAACUAAGGAGUCUACAUCCUAUGGAAAGAGCUGCAGAGUAUGAGCAUAUGAAAGAUGUUCCAUAUGCAAGUGCGGUUGGAAGCUUGAUGUAUGCAAUGGUUGGUUCAAGGCCAGAUUUGGGUUUUGAAGUGGGAUUCAUCAGUCGUUUUAUGUCUUAUCCUAGCAGGGAACACUGGGAAGCAGUUAAAUGGGUUUUAAGAUAUGUAGCUGGAGCCUACGAUCAGUGUUUGACAUUUAAGAAGUCUACAGAGUUCAAGGUGGAGGGUUAUUCAGACUCAGACUAUUCUGCGGAUUUGGAUAAGCAAAGAUCAGUCUCAGGAAUUGUGUUUAAAGUUGGGGGAAAUAUUGUGUCCUGGAAGUCAGGACUACAGUCAGUGGUGGCUUUAUCCACCACCAAAGCAGAGUUUAUGGCUCUAACAUUGGCAGUCAAAGAAGCUAUUUGGCUAAGGAAUUUCAUUACAGAGAUAGGUUACCAACAAGACAGUGUAAGGAUACACUGUGAUUCUCAAAGUGCAAUAGCCCUAUCUAAAAAUGCAGUACAUCAUGAGAGAACUAAGCACAUGGAUACACAGUUCAAUUUAAUCAUGGAUAUUGUAUCUAAGCGAAUCGUCAACCUAGCGAAGAUACAUACAUUUAAGAAUACUGCAGAUUUUCUGACGAAAUGUGAACCUGGUACUAAGUUACAGCUCUGCUGUGAACUUCUCAACAUCUGCUAAGGAUGAUGAUCGGCUCCGGGUAACUCUAUAAGCGCCUCAACAUACAGAAACAGAGGAGAGAUGGUUCGUGUUCUGUAAGACAUCUGAGCUAUCUGUAAAAGAAUUUGUAAACUUCAGAUUAUAGAGAGGGAGUUACCCGUACAGAAGGAGAGAUCAAUAUCGAUCUCUGGUGGUGAGGGUUGAGGUGGAGUCGUCGGUGAACGAUUGUUUCUUUGUUCAGCAGUGUUCUGUGGCUUCAGGUAGAGUAUCUGAGAUUCUUCCGUCGUGGGUGUUUUGAGUUUUGGUUUGUCAGGUCUGCAAACUCAGAAACAGAGAAAGGAAAGUCUGUGGUCAGUAUACGUCCUUGAAGUUAUCAAAUGUGUUAUGAAUAAUAAUAAAAAGGGCCUGAGAAAGUUGUUACCUUAGAAAGAAAACGUGGUGGUGUUUUUUUCUGGGUUCUUCAAGCUGUGGAAACCCAGAUCGAAAACAUGAAAAGUAAAAGAAAAGGUUUUCAGGGUGUGUCUUUCGUCUUCAGUGAAGACCGAUAGAUCAUCAGUUUUGACUUCUCAGGUUAAUAUCAGGAAAGAAGAGUCAGAGGUUAUUACCUUGUUAACAGGGAAGUGUUUCACCAGAGAAAGGUGAGUUUUUCUCAGUGGUUUAUGUCAGAGCUCGUCUAUAGAGAUGGAGGGGCAAAGCGGCGGCAAGAGAGAGAAGAGACAGAAGACUUCUGAGGGGCUUUCACGAACCUUGCCCGAAGUCAAGAGGUGGAGAUUUGUGGGUUUUGGGCUUGACUCCGGUCAUUUCCGUAAAGUCCAUCAACAGUGCCUUCUUCGUUUGGGCCGAAACUGACUAAAGCCCAAUCUUGCUGCUACGUCGUUUUGACGGUUAUAUUGGCCUAACGACAUUAUCUUCUUCGGUGUGACUGCGAACCAGUAACAGACUAAGAUCAGCUGAGAAGAGGCGAUUCACAGAAAGAGAGAAUCGAGGAGAAAGAGUUUCACCUGAGCGAUUGAUCGGAGAACUGGAGUAGAAGAAACUCCGGUGACGUCGCUGUAACAGGAUCCGAUUACCGGUGGUGUAUUUCGGAGGUAACAAACAGCGCGUCUUCUCCGGUGUGUUUAGAUCGAGACUUGUAUUGUUGUUACCAGAACUUUAUACUGAUUCUAGUGAAGUUGCUUGAGAGUUUCGAUCUCUCCCCAGACAGUAGGAAACGAAGUCCGGGUUAACAAAUCUUGU
rnacentral:lncRNA from 1 species